AGGGCAGCAAAUUUAAUACAAAAUCGUUUGAAGUUAAACUAACUCCUAACUGCACCGGAAUUGCAGAGCCUCAGGGUCGAAGAGAGUCUUUUGUUGUGUUAACAAGCUAUAUUUACGGUUCUCAUCAUGUAUGUCUUGACAUGACAACCAGAUUAGGAAAACAAUCUAGAAGUAUUGUUAUUAAUUACAUGGAAACAGAAAGUGCUAGUAAGAUUGUAUCAAACACCUAUUAUAAAGAGCUGGGACGAGGGUUCACCACCUGAACGCUGAUUGGUUCUUUCAACAUCAUCCCACAUUUUCAGUCUCAUGUACAAAGUUCCCCUCGACCGCGUGCCCAGCCCAACUCUAGUCGGUGGACGUAGACCGAUUAAAAAGAGUGAAAAGCUACAAAAGCUCAACAACAACGAACAGGACCAAGACUAAAACAAACAACGAAGAUGAGGCAGAAGAAGAAACACAGAAAAAGAAAAAAAUAUAUUAAAAAAACCAAUAUGACAUUAGAAAAUAACGCACUACUUUGUUGUAACGAUUACAACCUCGCAGUGGCGGAAAUUCACUUUUUCCUGGAAAUUCACUUGGCGGAAAUUCAGUGGCGGUGAAGGUGAAGCCAUGCAUAUGCGUUCUCAUAGGUGAAGCCAUGCAUAUGCGGACUGCUUUUCUCAAAAACAAGACGGAAAUAAAAUUCAAAACAUAACUCAGAAUAAUGUUGGCUUGAAAAAUAGAAAAAGUAUCCCACAAGACAAAUAUUAUUUACGACAACAUGGGAUAAAUAAUUGAUUUUUUCGGCCAAACGUAAAACAUUCCAUUCAUGCAUGACAGUUGAUGAGAGCAGCUACAUUAGUGCAGGUGCAAUUGCCAAAAUUAGACGUAUAGUCUCCCACUAAUUUAUCUUGUGAGCAGCUUUGUUUAAAAAGAGCACAUGGCACAAGAGCACCUCUCACCGCUGCUUGGCUAGAUUAGGAUCGUCCCACGUUUCAGUUCACGUGUACAUUCAACCGUAGAAACAUUCCUAUAAAAGGAGAAGGUCAGCUCAACUCGGACAGUGGAUUCAGAGUAACCGAACAGAGUGAAUGAAGAAACUCGAAACAAAACAAAACAAAACAAGACAACAAAGGAAACGAACAUAAAACGACGAAGAAGAGCUGAGGGAGAAAUGAAGAGAACUUGGAAGAGAACAUUGAGACUGAGACAUUUGUACAAUAAUUAGAGUAAACUUGUAACGAUUCACUACUUAAAUAAAACCUCGUAACAGUGGUAUGAGGAUGCGUGCUUAAACAAAGAUCCCGGUAGAGCUUACGAGGUCCUCGUGCAGAAGUAUUUCCCGCGUGUAACUAAAUAGUGUUACGAAACAUUAUUACUUAUACAUAAAAUUUUAGGUAAAAAUAAAAAAAAAACACAGAAGAUGUUUGCUUGAGAGCAGGUGAAAUGUUUGUUCAAGCAAAUAUUACUUCAAGCAUAAUAAGAAAUAAUGAAUAUUUUGCCACAAAUCAAAGUAACGUAAAUCUAGCUUUCGGUUCUUCGGAAAACAUUCAUUAUUUUUUCCAUUAGGCUGUGACAGUUUGUUAGACUAGCUGCAGUUGUGCAUGUGGAGAUGUCAUGUUUUGAUUGACCUGUUUCCUAUAGUUUCUCUUGUGGGCAGAUCUGUUUAAACAGGGCAGCUGCCUUGGGUCUCAUGAACAUUGACCUUUUCACGUGGACAGACUCAGGCGUAAAAUAUGAGUCAUUCCAGGCUGGAUAACACUCGGUCAUGCAAUUAAAAUAUUACGUCAUCAAAAUCUUAGUUCACGAGUAAAUUUAGUCUUGUAGGUAAGGUUAUGUUCACAUAGGUAUAGUUUGAAGUUUUUACUAUAAGACCUGGAUAAGUAUUUUGAGUUGUAAGCCUGUUUUGGCAUCGAUCGAUUGAACAGUAGACCGACUCGACCUAUACGACAACGCCUUAAACAAACGGAAUUUGAAGGCUAGAACGAGCUAGCACCGCCUACACACUCUUCCCUAGCUCAACGUUGAUUGGCUGGAGACGGAUCACACCUCUUGUUGGAGCACGUGUGCAAGAAUCCCCCUCGACCGUUAGUAUAAAAGGCCGUGCGCAAUCGAAAAUCGCCAGUGGACGUAUGCUGAAUAAAGCUUAACUGAUGAAAAGCUGCAGAAACUCAAACGAAACAAACGAACGAACGACGAAGAAAUUAACGAACAUAUCACGAACGGUCAAAACCUGCUCAAGGCUGAAGUGAACUUAGAAAACUACUCCACGAAGACGAACAUUAAGAACUAAUAGUCAUUAGAGAUUGAUUGUAAACGAUUCCCUACCUCGCGUAGAAGCAGAGAAAUAAAAUCACAAUUAUCGAACAAUAGAAUAUCUAACACUGGUGGAGUGCAUGCGUAAUCGUGAUUGUUCCUAUACAACUACAUUCCUCUGUCUUUUGGUGGAUUUCUUUGCCAUUAUUAAGAGCCACGACGACAUUAAUACAAAGCAUAUAAGUCAAAUGCAAGGACUGCACACUUGGUUUGGCCUCAAAUGCUUACUCAUAUGGUUAAAUGCUUUGAGAUGGUUGGUAGUGGUAAUACAAUUUCGAAUUCCCGAUAACGACAGUCAUGAACACUGACUUGAAAUUGAACACCCUAAGUUUUGUAUAUAAAUUUUUAUUAUUUACAUUAUGAUUAAUUACUCGUUUCUUUACUAAGAUUGCAUGCGAUUUAUGUAUUUUUCCCCUUAUUAUUAGAGACUCGUGAGAGUAUACAUGCCAACUCAAAAUAUCUUAGGUACACUCAACAUGUAUACAUGUUGCCGCAGGUUAGCGCAUACAUGCAUGCAAUUAGUUGGGUCAGAAUUAAAAAAGUAUUAACUAAUCAUUUUUAUGCAGUUACUUUGUUCGUAUAUUACUAUAUAUUUUUCUCUCUCCCCGGGACAGUCAAACGGUCUCCCAUUAUUUUUGAACGUAUUACGAUUUCUUUUCAAGCCAAAAGUUUAAAUAUUAGGCACGUUCUUGCUUUCUCUAUGUAGAUUCGGUGGCUGCUGCAUUUUCAAUUCCCACCACGCUAGUAAUGUGAAGGCAACAAACAAGGUGCGUGUUUCUGGAACGACGACAGACACUUGCAAAGGACCAGGUAUACUUUGCUGUCGGAUGAAAAGCUUCAUUUUGUAGUUUGAUACGCUACGCAUGACGUUUUUUAAAUUAAAUAAGUUCGACUUAUUAAAAAGUAUAAAAAUGUCGUUG